rnacentral:rRNA from 1 species
GAUGAACGCUGACAGAAUGCUUAACACAUGCAAGUCAACUUGAAUUUGGGUUUUUAACUUAGGUUUGGGUGGCGGACGGGUGAGUAACGCGUAAAGAACUUGCCUCACAGCUAGGGACAACAUUUGGAAACGAAUGCUAAUACCUAAUAUUAUGAUAAUAGGGCAUCCUAUAAUUAUGAAAGCUAUAAGCGCUGUGAGAGAGCUUUGCGUCCCAUUAGCUAGUUGGAGAGGUAACGGCUCACCAAGGCGAUGAUGGGUAGCCGGCCUGAGAGGGUGAUCGGCAAAAAGGGGACUGAGACACGGCCCUUACCCCUACGGGAGGCAGCAGUGGGGAAUAUUGGACAAUGGACCGAGAGUCUGAUCCAGCAAUUCUGUGUGCACGAUGAAGUUUUUCGGAAUGUAAAGUGCUUUCAGUUGGGAAGAAACAAAUGACGGUACCAACAGAAGAAGUGACGGCUAAAUACGUG